CCUACGGGAGGCAGCAGUGGGGAAUAUUGCACAAUGGGGGAAACCCUGAUGCAGCGACGCCGCGUGAGUGAAGAAGUAAUUCGUUAUGUAAAGCUCUAUCAGCAGGGAAGAAAAUGACGGUACCUGAGUAAGAAGCCUCGGCUAACUACGUGCCAGCAGCCGCGGCAAUACGUAGGGGGCAAGCGUUAUCCGGAUUUACGGGGUGUAAAGGGAGCGUAGACGGCAGUGUAAGUCUGGAGUGAAAGGCGGGGGCUCAACCCCCGGACUGCUCUGGAAACUGUACGGCUGGAGUGCAGGAGAGGUAAGUGGAAUUCCUAGUGUAGCGGUGAAAUGCGUAGAUAUUAGGAGGAACACCAGUGGCGAAGGCGGCUUACUGGACUGUAACUGACGUUGAGGCUCGAAAGCGUGGGGAGCAAACAGGAUUAGAUACCCGAGUAGUC
rnacentral:rRNA from 1 species